GGCUGAGAGAAUGGAGGGAGAGAAGCAAAAUAAACCAGGAGAGGAAAGUGAUGAAGACACCUCCUUGCAAGCCUGCUGGCGGAGUGCCUAAGGACAGCUAUGAAUUCUGCAAAGGAAAUGAGAUGGGACAAACAGGACAAAGAGGCAGCGUGACCAGGCCACUGUGAGUCCUGUAUUUCAACAAGGGAUUCAUUUGAAGCAGCCCACAGGGACGGGUGACACUGAGGAAACAAAACCCAGGCCCUCCGGCCUCCGACCGAGCGGUGCAGAGCAUGCUGGGAGAUCACUUCCACCUGAGGAGCACAAAAGACCCCAGGAGUGGAGGAAGCUGGCCUGAGGCCAACCGGAUGUAGCAGACUUGCUGGGCCCAAGGAGGGAGGUCUGGUGAUGGAGCCUCAAGUACAUAUCCUUCCAGUCCUAAGAAAGAGGAUAGAUUGCCACAUGCCGGAACUGGAGUCUUGGCUUUCGAAAGAUCUUUUCCAUUACCUCUGCAGCAAGAAUGACGUCUUCUAAAGACUCAGGAUGGCCUCUAAUCUUCAUGGUCUAAUUCCCUGAUCCUCCAACCAGGAGGCCUCCCCAGGCCUGACAGAAGUGUUUGUAAAGGUAAGAACAGCUUUUAGCUUUGCAUGCUUUUGUGGGAUCAAUGUUCUAUCCCUCUUAUGCCUACAGAGGGCCACUUUCUCUGAGAACUAUGGUGAAAUUGUUCAGCAGCAGUUAAUACACCACACACACACACUCUUUCUAUUUCUAUCCAAGGCAAAGAAAAGUGAAUACCCC
rnacentral:lncRNA from 10 species